ACACCUUUCAACAGCCCGCUGGACCUGUCUUCUAAGCCGGGGGUCGAAGGUUCGAAUCCUUCCGGGUGCGCCA
rnacentral:tRNA from 1 species